rnacentral:rRNA from 1 species
CCUACGGGGGGCAGCAGUGGGGAAUAUUGGUCAAUGGGGGAAACCCUGAUCCAGCGACGCCGCGUGAGUGAUGAAGGAUUUCGGUACGUAAAGCUCUAUUAGCAGGGAAGAAAAUGACGGUACCUGACUAAGAAGCCCCGGCUAACUACGUGCCAGCAGCCGCGGUAAUACGUAGGGGGCAAGCGUUAUUCGGAUUUACUGGGCGUAAAGGGCGCGUAGACGGCAGAGCAAGUCUGCAGUGAAAUGCCAGGGCUCAACCACGGAACUGCAGUGGAAACUGUGAAGCUGGAGUGCGGGAGAGGUAGGCGGAAUUCGUGGUGUAGCGGUGAAAUGCGUAGAGAUCAGGAGGAACAC